rnacentral:tRNA from 1 species
CCCGCGAGGAGGGAGUCGAACCCCCGACCUCCAAGUUAGAAGCUUGGCAGUCUAACCUCUGACGUACACGCGG